GACGAACGCUGGCGGCGUGCUUAACACAUGCAAGUCGAGCGGUAAGGCCCUUUCGGGGGUACACGAGCGGCGAACGGGUGAGUAACACGUGGGUGACCUGCCCUUAGCUCUGGGAUAAGCCUGGGAAACUGGGUCUAAUACCGGAUAUGACUCCAUGACGCAUGUCGUGGGGUGGAAAGCCUUGUGCGGCUAGGGAUGGGCCCGCGGCCUAUCAGCUUGUUGGUGGGGUGAUGGCCACCAAGGCGACGACGGGUAGCCGGCCUGAGAGGGCGACCGGCCACACUGGGACUGAGACACGGCCCAGACUCCUACGGGAGGCAGCAGUGGGGAAUCUUGCGCAAUGGGCGAAAGCCUGACGCAGCGACGCCGCGUGAGGGAUGACGGCCU
rnacentral:rRNA from 1 species